rnacentral:sRNA from 15 species
GUCAACGACCCUGGCCUGAAGGCCUGGGUUUGAGGUGGCGUACCGCGCACCGAUGGCCCCGCGUUGACCAGCCCGAGUCAUCAGCUCAAGGAGGUGCCUUUUGAUGACUACGUUUCCUAUGAGUGAGAAGACCCACCAAGCCGUGCUUCCUCAGCGGCUUGCUCUGGA